UACAGAGGGUGCGAGCGUUGUCCGGAAUCACUGGGCGUAAAGGGCGCGUAGGUGGUGGCUUAAGCGUGCGGUGAAAGCUCGGGGCUCAACUCCGAGUCGGCCGUGCGAACUGGGCUCACUGGAGCAUAGUAGAGGCAGGUGGAAUUCCGGGUGUAGCGGUGGAAUGCGUAGAGAUCCGGAAGAACACCGGAGGCGAAGGCGGCUUGCUGGGCGUGAUCUGACGCUGAGGCGCGAAAGCGUGGGGAGCGAACAGG
rnacentral:rRNA from 1 species